CCAACAGUUUCCAAAGCCCUGCGUAUGGACUUCUUGGGAGAUCUUGAGCAGAUUUUCAACAGAAUGGACAAGACCUGAAGUCACCCUGAGGCUACUGGAAAUUGAACCCAGGGCUUCACAAUGCUAGGAAAGUGCUCUACCAUUGAGAUACAUCUCCAGCCCAGGGUACAUUUCAAGAUCACACAUUGGAUGUAGUUGUCAUUUCACUUUGACAGCUUUUUUUUUUAAAGACUUUCAAUUUUUUAAAAAAGACUGCCAAUUUGGGGCUUUUUGUUUGUUUGUUUGUUUUUUUGAGACAGGGUCUGGCUAGUUCAGACUGGCCUUGAACUCACUAUGUAGCCCAGGCUAGCCUCAAACUCACAGCAAUCCUCCUGCUUCAGCUUCCUGGGUGCUGGAAUGACAGGCAUGCACUACCCUAUCUGGCUUAUUUUGAUAUCUUUGACAUCUUUAGUAACUACUGGCCUUCGCUGUAAGGUAGUCCUUCAUGUGCCUCUGUCAGAUGUCUUCUCAUGAACACAUUCAGAUGAUUCAUUCCUUGCUAAAGGACAAAAAAAUUCUGCUGUGAUUUUCUUAAUGCUUCACAUCAUAGAGGAACUUAUUGUCAUCCCAUCUUAACAAAAGUGAUAACAACCACGGCUUCCAGAACAAAGUACCACAGAUUGGAGGCUUAAAUAACAAAAAUUUAUAUCUCGCAAUUCUGGGGGCUAGAAGUCCAUAAUGAAGGUGCCAGUGGAUUGGUUUAUUGUGAGGCCUCUCUCUUUGGCCUGCAGAUGGCCAUCUUAUCCUUGUGUAUUCAUGCAGCCUUCCCUCUGUGCAUGUCUGUGUCCAUGUUCCCUCUUCUGAGCACAGUAGUCCUGUUGGAGUAGGACCCACCUUAAUGACCUUAUUUUAGCAUGAACAUUUCCUUAAAGAACUUAUGGGCUGGUGCAGCUUGGUGAUGGAGCACCUGCUUGCAUGUGCAAAGCCCUUGUUUCAAUUCCUAGCACUGAAAAAAAGAGAGAAAAUCAACAGACCCUCUCUCCAAAUCAACCACAUUCUAAGGUAUGGGGUGUUAGAACUUCAACUUAUAAAUUCUAGGGGGACAAUUCAGCCCACAGCAAUAGCCUUUAUCACCUCGUCAAGGUGGGGGAAGUUUCUCCACUGUAUUGUCACCAUUUUUCCUCGGUAACUGAUAUUUUAUGGAGAAGUGUACUCAGACUAGAUCAGUAUGCUGUAUCCUGUAUCAGACCCCCAUCCACAAGCUUUACCAUCCGCUGAUUAUUCUUAUUUGAGUCAGCUGUCAUUAUAAUAACCUGAAAUGAUUUUUUCUUUUUCCAUUAUGCCCUCUAUAAUUGGCAUUCUACUACAAAGACAAGCUUUCCUUUCUCACUUAUUUUUUAUUUAGAUCAGUAUACAAUUAUAGCUUUGGUUUUUUAUUCAGGGGGCUAUAAUUCGUUUCUAUCUUUUUUUCCCUCAAAUUGACCUUGAUUUGACCAAUGAAGUCCUUCCCUGUGUCUUUUUUUUUAAUUACAUGAUUUCAUUAUUUCUUAUUUUUUCUUUUUUAAAAUUUUAUUUAAUUUUUUAUUUUGAGGUAAGUUCUCACUAAACUGCUAAGUUGUCCAGGCUGGACUCAAACUUGAGAACUUCUUGCCUCAGCCUCUGAGGAUGCUGG
rnacentral:lncRNA from 1 species